UACGGAGGGGGCUAGCGUUGUUCGGAAUGACUGGGCGUAAAGCGCACGUAGGCGGAUCAGAAUGUUGGGCGUGAAAUCCCGGGGCUCAACCUCGGAACUGCCUUCAAAACUCCUGGUCUUGAGUUCGAGAGAGGUGAGUGGAAUUCCGAGUGUAGAGGUGAAAUUCGUAGAUAUUCGGAGGAACACCAGUGGCGAAGGCGGCUCACUGGCUCGUUACUGACGCUGAGGUGCGAAAGCGUGGGGAGCAAACAGG
rnacentral:rRNA from 1 species